AUUUAUAUGGAAGUGAGAUGGAAUUUGAAGCACUAAUGCCUCUCACAAGAUCAUCGAAUUAACUGAAAUUUCCUACAAAUAGCAAAGUUUCAAAAUGAAAAGAAGGGAAAGAAAGGGAUUUAAACUGUAUUUUUGAAAAAUACUUAGAACUAACUAAAAAAAUAUGGAACAUUGGAGACCAUCAUUUUUCUAUCUUAAUUAAUUUGACAGCCUAAUGCUACAUGAAAAAGACCCAAUUCCGAAACAAAUAAUAAAAA
rnacentral:misc_RNA from 1 species